UGUCGCCGCGCCGCGCCUUGCUCGCGGCCGUGUCCGCGCCGAUGAUCGGCGCGAGAUCGGAGAACUGCAGCAGAUUCGACACGAGCUCGCCGGACAGGAGCGGCCGCGGCGCGCGCUGCUGGUACACGAGCGUGCCGCGCAGAUCGCUGCCGCCAACGCGGCCGUUGAAGUUCUCGUAACGGAACGUGCUCGCGGCGCGCUUGAAACGACCGACGAGCCGGCCUUCGGUCGCGUACGGCGGCGUGUCGGGCAAGGUCACGCCCGUGAGCGGAUACAGGUGCGACAUGCUCGAGCCCUGCAGCCACAGCCGCAGGUCGAUCGCGGCGAGAUGGACCGGAUCGGUGAGCGUCCCGACGAUCGCGAGGCGCGUGUCGCCCGCCUUCACGUCGGCCUGCAGCGGGAAUGGCCGCGAAGCGUCCCGAAGCGACAGCACGCCGCCCACCUUGCCCGUGCCGUCGAUCGGCACGCCCUUGUAGCGGCCCUUCACGGUCAGGCCGAACGCGUAGGUCGGGCCGGCCGACCGCUGCUCGGCGGCGGAGGCCGCGCUUGCGCCGCUCGCGCCCCUUGCGCCGCUCGCGCCCGAAACGGCCGCGCUCGUCGAGACGGCCGAAGCGGAAGAUGCGGCCGACGCGGAGGCGGAAGCAACCGCCCCGCCCGCGCCCGCUGCGGGAGCCUUGCCGGCGGCAACCGCCGCGGCGCUCCCGCCGGAGGCCGCGGCGGCCGGCUUCGACGCAGCGCUCGCGCCCGCCGUGGCCCGAGCCGCCCGUGACCGGUCAUUGCCGGAAACCUUGGCGGCCGACGCCGCGGCAUUCACGCCCGACGCGCCGCUCGCCGCGGCAGCGCCGCUCGCGUUCGGCGCCCCGGCGGCCGACGCCGCCGACGCGUCGGACGCGAUCUGGGCUUGCGCCUUGGCGGCCAAUUGCGCCGCGCCGCGUUUGCCGACCCGCUGCGCCGACGCCGCCCGAGACGUCUCCUCCUGCUGCCGGAGCACGUCGCCGAGCGGAAUCGGCUGGCCGAGCGUAUCGACCGCGACGCUCAGAUCGGCUUUCGUGAUCGCGUCGCGAUAGACGACCGUGCCCUUCGCGAAGCCGAAGUCGCGCAACUGCACCUUCCAGGGCGACGGGCCGGCAGACUGCUUGAAUUCGAAGGUCCAGUUGUUGCGGCCGUCGGCGAGGCGCUCGAUGUCGAGCGCCGGGUUGACGAGCUCGAUCGUCGGGAUCACGACCUCGUGCGCGAGCAGCGGCAGGACGGCGAGCUCGAAGCGCGCUUCGUCGAGCGUCGCGAAAUUGGGCGCUUUCGCCCACGGCGGGUUGCCGAUCACGAUCCGGCUCGCCGAGAACACCGGCCACGGCACCCAUGCGCGCC
rnacentral:rRNA from 1 species